GUAGACGUAGUUUAACAAAAACAUUAGAUUGUGAUUCUAAAAAUAGAGGUUAAAACCCCCUCAUCCACC
rnacentral:tRNA from 1 species